UACGAAGGGUGCAAGCGUUACUCGGAAUUACUGGGCGUAAAGCGUGCGUAGGUGGUUUGUUAAGUCUGAUGUGAAAGCCCUGGGCUCAACCUGGGAACUGCAUUGGAUACUGGCUUACUAGAGUGCGGUAGAGGGGUGUGGAAUUCCCGGUGUAGCAGUGAAAUGCGUAGAUAUCGAGAGGAACACCUGCGGCGAAGGCGGGUUGCUGGGCUGACACUGACGCUGAUGCGCGAAAGCCAGGGGAGCGAACGGG
rnacentral:rRNA from 1 species